GAAAUAACGAUGUUAGUCUUUUUUAGGCUGACAAUCGGAAUGGAAAAACUCUAAAAAGGUUAUUGAUUAACAAUUGGAGGGCAAGUCUGGUGCCAGCAGCCGCGGUAAUUCCAGCUCCAAUAAGGAAAACUAAAGUUGCUGUGUUUAAAAAGCUCGUAGUUGAAUUUCGGGUAUUUGUUGCUAGUUGGUCUUUUCGGCCAUAUUGGUUAACAGAUCCUCACUUGCUGGACGGCUGGCGAUGAUCUUUAUCGGUUGUCGUCAGUUGCCAGAACGUUUACUUUGAGAAAAUUAGAGUGCUAAAAGCAGGCUCACGCCUAUAUAUAUUGCAUGGAAUAAUGAAAUAAGAUCUCGAUUUUAUUUCGUUGGUUUUAGAAAUUGAGAUAAUGAUUAAUAGGAUCAGA
rnacentral:rRNA from 1 species